GAGAAAAAGGAGCAGGUAGAUGUGAGCAAACCAUAGCAGAAAACUCUCCUAACCUGGGGAAAGACACAGACAUCAAAAUCCAGGAAGCACAGAGGACUCCCAUAAAAUUCAACAAAAA